rnacentral:rRNA from 1 species
UACGGGGGGAGCAAGCGUUGUUCGGAUUUACUGGGCGUAAAGGGCGCGUAGGCGGCCAGCCACAAGUCAGUUGUGAAAUCUCCGAGCUUAACUCGGAAAGGUCAACUGAUACUGUGCGGCUAGAGUGCGGAAGGGGCAACUGGAAUUCUUGGUGUAGCGGUGAAAUGCGUAGAUAUCAAGAGGAACACCUGCGGCGAAGGCGGGUUGCUGGGCCGACACUGACGCUGAGGAGCGAAAGCAUGGGGAGCGAACAGG